AACAGUACGCGCCACUUCAGUGCUAGCAGUCAGUCGAUGUUCGAUUGUCAGUGCACAUCCUACGGUCGCAACUUGACACGAGCCGCCAAGGGAGUGGUCAUUAUUGACGUAAUAAACGAGAAUUUCAUCAAGAUGCCACACGUUCUGAACGUCUUGUUGCAUCUAGUCAGUCUAGCGGCUUACAGCUUUACACUCUACUACGGCUACAAUAAAUUGCAUUUUCCUGCAUACAACAAUAAGUCCAUCGAUUUCGAUCCUGGCCAAAAUAAGUUUUUAACUAUGUGGAAUGUGAUUCUGCAAACAAUAUUCUUUUUGAUAUGUCUCCUAAACGAUUUAUUCGGCACAAAUGCUAUAAACCCCAAGAAGCCGCCUUUCACGCGGAAGUUAAAGGAUUACUUCCAUGCAAGUCUCGGGUUUCCAGUUGCUAUGUUCGUCGGUGUGACUUUCUGGGUGUUGAUGUUUGUGGAUCGUGAACUGGUAUUGCCGAAAGCAUUGGAUCCGUACUUCCCAUGGUGGUUGAACCAUUUAAUGCACACGAUGAUCAUGGUGACGACAAUAUUAGAAAUGAUAUUCGCGCCACGGCAAUAUCCUAAGCGAUCUCGCAGCCUCGGAAUACUCAUUAGCUUUAUGCUCACGUACUUAGUCUGGGUACACGUAAUCUACUAUAAAAGCGGCGUCUGGGUGUACCCCGUGAUGGACGUGCUGACGUUACCGCUACGGCUUGUGUUCUUCGCCGUGCUGCUGACAUUCUGCGUGAUUCUAUACUUCGUCGGGGAGACUCUGAACAACAUCAUCUGGGGUAACGAAUACACAAAGCAUAAAAAAUCUCACGCCAAAUCCAAGUAGCCUCGCCCAAGCGUUCCUAACGGGUGAUAAAAGCCACAUCUGCCUGCCACCUGCGGUGUUGGUGAAUAAAACAAAAAUGGAUCUUUUCUACACAUACCCUCCGUUGCAGCAUGCACAAUGUAUUAUUUGUCAGAUGUAAAUGUUAUUUAGAAUAUUAGUGCUGUGUAUGUGCAUGCGAGGCGCAGUUUAGGGUAUAACAAUGAGGCUCGCGUGAUCGUUAACCCGGCGCAAUGGAGAUAACAUGAAGGAACAGCAUGCAAGGUGCAUCACAUUUCCAUGAGAUCACGGACCAAGGGAGACUAAUCCGAAAAAAAUACGUAGCGGUAAUGGAGAGCGUGGAGCCAGAUUUGAAAACGUAGAAACGGCGGAUGGACGAGAG